UGGAGAAGGUCCUUCACUCAACUGGAAUUUCCCUUACUAGAUUCAAAAAAGUGCCUGUGUAACAUAGGUAACUUCAAAGAACUGACCACUUCAUACCACAGAAAGUGAGAGGAGUGCAAAACUGUUUGUGAGUUAUCCCAGGAGGCCUUGUCCUUUCCUAAGUAUCACAUAUAUUUUCAGUCCUGUUGAACGUCCAUUUUUGUUCUUUGCUUUGGCUGCCAUCUCCAUUGAACUUGUCCGUGGUUCCUCCAUGGAUCUGUGACAGCUGUUUUGAGAGCUGCCACUAGGAGCUUGAGAGGGUGGGCUGUCAGCCAGCAGAGAUGUUAAUUGGGACCAUUGUUAUCAGGAAAUAAUGUGAUGCAGUCAGUGCUGCUUCAGUGCAGUCUACACUGUUGCAGGUACAAUAGCUUAUGGCUGUAGAGAUUCAUAUUAAUUCCAAACCAUUUGGGUAAUAGAGACCUUUGUUUGCUUUAAAU
rnacentral:lncRNA from 1 species